CGUCAGGCCCCCCGUGGAGGAAACCCAGUUUGAGAAAUGAAACUAACUGGCCGGCCCUAGACCCCUAGAACAUGAUUUAAGAUUCAUGAACAAAGAGGAAAUGACUUGUCUGCUACAAAACUGCUGAGAACGAUGACAAUCAAGGAAGGAUGGGAAUCACCUAUAAGAGAGGAAAGGCGAAUGGACUGUCGCUCCACUUCAGGCUAACGAGUUGGGGAGUGGGGCGGCGGGGGAGCCCUUCCCACCCUCUGGCAGAGGAGAGCUGGCGCGAGUCCCCGAGGAGGCAGAGCGUGUGUACUGGAUGGGGUGGAAGAGAAGUGGAUGAGCAUCUAAGAUCCCAGCUGUGA
rnacentral:lncRNA from 9 species